CGACUGUAAUGCACGCAGUGGUUCAUCCCGAUCAACAAAAAAAAAGUGUUAUCAUCAUAACACCUGGUGAUAUUGAAAUCUUUAAAAAAUCAAGCUUAUGAUAAAAUAUUGCUGCUCGCUGCCUUCACUGAUUCAAGACCAUUCAGUGGCUAUCAUUGGCCAAUCACACAAACGGGAGGUUUAUAUUUAUAUUCAACUUCGAUCCACCUAUGCAAGGAAAAAUAAGCCAUUGGAGAUAAAUCGAAUCCCCUUCUCUAGUAGCAGCAGUUAUGGCGUAUUUAACAAGUAUAGCGGACUGCGUCAUUGUCGACUUUCAGCGUUUAUGUACCCGUGUCAAAGUAACAGCAAAGCAAGU